rnacentral:lncRNA from 1 species
CUGGAGACCCUUUACCUGACUUCCUCCUCACACCAGAGCCCCCUGAGGGCUCCCCUCCCCUAGCUGCUCAAUGCUCACCCUCUACGCCAUGCCCCAUCCAUAGACUGACACCCACAUAGCCUACCCACAGCCCCGUGAGGCCUCAGUGUCCCCGCUGUAUGGACACAGUGCUGGGUUCAGACCAGGCUUCUGCUCAUGCCCAGGACUGUGACUCUGGACAGACUCUGAGCCUCUCAGGGCCCCGCCCCCCAGGUUCCCCAUCUGCACAGUGGGGUCUUCUGGCUUCUAAUUCUAGGGACGCCAUCAGGAGUAGGACCUCUACAUACGUUCUUGCUCACAGGAGGCUGAGACACACACGUGGCAAAGCAAGGGCUCCAAGCUCCAAGCUCCCCGAAGUGGUUGGCUCAGGAGAAGUGACAGAGAAAUGUGUGUAUACCUGGUCACUACUUAGGAUAUAUCCUGAUCCAGUUAGAAAAACACAGCAAAUUGCAACAGCACUAAAAAAUGAAUUGCAUUAUUUUUCACACCUUCUCACUUUUGUCUGCCAAGUGAUCUGCAGUCCUGUCUACUAA